GCUUUUGGUAUCUCGUAAUGUAGAACAAUAUUGAGUUGACCGUCAAAUCCUUUUCAUUAAAAGAGUGGA
rnacentral:rRNA from 12 species